UACGUAGGGGGCGAGCGUUGUUCGGAAUUACUGGGCGUAAAGCGCACGUAGGCGGAUACUUAAGUCAGGGGUGAAAUCCCGGGGCUCAACCCCGGAACUGCCUUUGAUACUGGGUAUCUCGAGUCCGGAAGAGGUGAGUGGAAUUCCGAGUGUAGAGGUGAAAUUCGUAGAUAUUCGGAGGAACACCAGUGGCGAAGGCGGCUCACUGGUCCGGUACUGACGCUGAGGUGCGAAAGCGUGGGGAGCAAACAGG
rnacentral:rRNA from 1 species